UGUGGGAGCGGGCUUGCCCGCGAUGGCGGCCUACCAGUCGACAUUUAUGGUGAUUGACACACCGCUAUCGCGGGCAAGCCCGCUCCCACA
rnacentral:misc_RNA from 1 species